UCUGAUAUGGCAGAUUAGUGCAAUGGAUUUAAGCCCCAUAUAUAAAGUAAUUAUUACCUUUUAUUAGAA
rnacentral:tRNA from 1 species